UCCCUACAAGCUACACUACAGAUACAAUAAAAUGUAAAGAGAGGACUACAUGAGACAGGAUUCCAUCAUACCCUCCCUCUUAAAAAAAAAGAUUUGUCCUCAAAUCUGGCAAUCGCCUUAUGAAGAAGCUCCACNCAUUCUUUGGAGCAUGGCCAUCUUGGAAUGGCCUUAUUCUUUUAGAUCCACUUUUCUUCCUCCUGGAUCAAAGACGAAUNACUUUUCUUCCUCCUGGAUCAAAGACGAAUCUGCAAUAUGCAUCAAAUAUAUCUUCAAUUAAUACCAAUCCAAAGAGGAAACUUUCUACAAAAACAAGAGAAUAAGGACUCCUAUGAUUUUGAUUUGUAAUCUUUAAAAAUGUUAGAAGUCCAAAUUCAAUAUUGUCUUGAGUUACUUAUUUUCUUGAAGAUAACAAUAACUCAAGAUUUGAAUUGCCAUAGUUUGAAAAUGUUUGCAUAGAAUAUGGAAUGGCAAUUGGUUGGAAAGAGAAAUCAAAACUAGAAGAAUGAAUAAUGAUGGGAAAAGAUGGAAAACCUUCCCUUUUAAGAUUGGGUUCUAUGGUUGGAGUAAAAAUU
rnacentral:lncRNA from 1 species